AGUGAACGCUAGUAGUAUGCUUUACACAUGCGAGUUGUACGAUUUAUUUCGUGGCGGACGGGUGAGGAAAUACAGAAUUUUUGCCUUCCAGUUUAAGAAUAUUACGUACUCAAAAAUUUGAAGAACACUGAAAACGACGUGACGUAAAAACCAAAUUAAAAAAUUAUAACAAAUAAUUGCUAGAAGAUAAAUCUGUAGAAGAUUAGGUAGUUGGUAACUUAACAGCUUACCAAGCCUGUGAUCUUUAGUUGGUCUUAGAGGACGAUCAACCACACUGGAACUGAGAUAAGGUCCAGGCAAAACUAUAACUGCCAGCAGUGAGGAAUAUUGGACAAUGAACGAAAGUUUGAUCCAGCAAUUCUAUUUGAAUGAUGACGGCUCACUUAGCUGUAAAGUUCUUUCAUUAACGAUGAUAAUGACAUUAGUUAAAGAAGCUAAAAGUCCCGGCAAAUCUCGUGCCAGCAGCCGCGGUAAUACGGGAGGGGCAAGCGUUACUCGGAAUAACUGGGCGUAAAGAGUUCGUAGACGGUGCUACAAGUUAUUUGUUAAUUCUUAGAGCUCAACUCUAUGGGAACAAAUAAUACUAUAUCACUUGAGUUUCGUUCAGAAGAGUAGAAUUCCACAUUGAGUGGUGAAACUCGUAGACAUGUGAAGGAAUACCAUUAAAAGCGAAGGCGACUCUUUGGUAAAAACUGACGUUGAGGAACGAAAGUAUGGGGAGCAAACAGGAUUAGAUACCCUGGUAGUCUAUACUGUAAAUCCUGUGUGCUGUAAUUUAACUGUUUUAUUAGUUGGAUUUUUUUAAGCUAACGCCAUAAGCACUCCGCCUGAGGAGUAUGAUCGCAAGAUUGGAACUCAAAGGAAUUGACGGGGGCCUACGACUAGUGGUGGAGCAUGUGGUUUAAUGCGAUAAUCCGCGCAAAACCUUACCAAUUUUUGAAUAUUGUUUUAAAAUUAUACUAUUGACAGAAUAAUAGAAUAAUCCCUAACUUUACAGGUGUUGCACGACUGUCGUCAGUUCGUGUCGUGAGAUGUUUGGUUAAUUCCUUUAACGAGCGCAACUCUUAUCUUUAAAAAGCUAUGAAUUUUAAUUUAAAAUAUUUUAAAAGAUACUGCUAAUGAUAAAUUUGAGGAAGGUAAGAAUUAAGUCAAGUCAAUGUGGCCCUUAUAAAUUGGGCUACACACGUGCUACAAUGAAAAUCACAAAGAGUAACAAAAAUGCCAAUUUGAGUUAAUCUCCUAAAAAUUUUCUUAGUUCGGAUUGUAAUCUGCAACUCGAUUACAUAAAGAUGGAAUCACUAGUAAUCGCAAAUCAGCAUGUUGCGGUGAAUACGUUACUUGGCCUUGUACACACCGCCCGUCACAUGCAAAGAAUUAAUUUCGUUUGAAGAUUUAUUAUUUGAGUCGAUUAUGAAAUCAGUGAUUUGGAUG
rnacentral:rRNA from 1 species